AUAGCCACUAGAGGAAAGGAAGUAUUAGUACAGAGGAUAGCCACUAGAAUGAAGUAGUACUGAGGAGAGAUUGGAAAGAGAGUAGCAGUGGUGAGAGUUACCACACAGUAUAUUAGCAGCCAAUCAAAGGGAACAGACAUGGAGGAGGAAGUUGUUAACUGUUGGGGAGGGAAAACUAGCCAUAGCAGGAAUAGGAGACUCAGCCUAUGGCUGUGCCCAUCCUAGAGGUACUUUUUUCUGGCACCUGAGUUUUUGAUCCAUGCUGUGUGUUUACUGGCAAGACAGUUGUUACCGAAAGGGUUUUAAAACUGUGCAAGCUGUAAGAUUUUAUACUGUUUUUGUUGUACAGAUUUUAUAUGCUGGACCUGAUCAUUGCCAUGGCACCGUAUGCAGAUGAACCCUCCAUGACUAAGAUCUAUCACACUAUUUUGCCAUAUCUUGAGGCUCUAAACAGACGGUGAACCUCAACAAGCAGUAUUUGUAUUUGGGCAGUUAUAAUAAAGCUUUAUUGUGUAUUUCACAGGAUAAAAAUCACAGUUUGCAGAAGAAAGCCUAUAGAGUUUUGGAGGAAAUAUGUGCAGGGGAACAGCCACCAUGCAAAGAAUUUGUAAACAACAAUCUGGAAGAAUUACAGAAAACACUCCUGACUUCCCUGAAAAGCACUUCAUCCUUUCAUCCCCUGGUAAACGGUAUGGAAGACAUUUUGGCUGAUUCUGAUGAAGUAGAGGAAGAGGAAGAGAAACCAACCAAACAACGAAAGAAACGGGCCCGGCAGAAGAGCCAGGCUUGGCUUAAAGAAGGGGAGGAAGAUGACCCAGUAAAUUUCCUUGAUCCCAAAGCUGCACAGCGUGUACUGGGCUGCCGUAUUGAUCCAGCUCAUCCUCAAGGCUUCCCCCACUCAGGAAUUCCAUGACAUAAAAGGCGUGCCGCUGGUUACACAGACAAUUGCAAAGUGUCAAGAGAAGGAAGAAAUGGCACAAGACUUACAACGUAGGGUGGUACUUAUUUUUAUGAAUUACAUAAUGGUGCAAAUAAAUGUAAAGCC